UACGAAGGGUGCAAGCGUUACUCGGAAUUACUGGGCGUAAAGCGUGCGUAGGUGGUUUGUUAAGUCUGAUGUGAAAGCCCUGGGCUCAACCUGGGAAUGGCACUGGAUACUGGCAAGCUAGAGUGUGGCAGAGGGUAGUGGAAUUCCUGGUGUAGCAGUGAAAUGCGUAGAGAUCAGGAGGAACAUCCGUGGCGAAGGCGACACGCUGGGCCUGGCCUGACGCUCAGACGCGAAAGCAUGGGGAGCGAAC
rnacentral:rRNA from 1 species